UCCGAAGACCUUCUUCACACACGCGGCAUGGCUGGAUCAGGCUUUCGCCCAUUGUCCAAUAUUCCCCACUGCUGCCUCCCGUAGGAGUCUGGACCGUGUCUCAGUUCCAGUGUGACUGAUCAUCCUCUCAGACCAGUUACGGAUCGUCGCCUUGGUAGGCCUUUACCCCACCAACUAGCUAAUCCGACCUAGGCUCAUCUGAUAGCGUGAGGUCCGAAGAUCCCCCACUUUCUCCCUCAGGACGUAUGCGGUAUUAGCGCCCGUUUCCGGACGUUAUCCCCCACUACCAGGCAGAUUCCUAGGCAUUACUCACCCGUCCGCCGCUGAAUCCAGGAGCAAGCUCCCUUCAUCCGCUCGACUUGCAUGUGUUAGGCCUGCCGCCAGCGUUCAAUCUGAGCCAGGAUCAAACCCUU
rnacentral:rRNA from 1 species